rnacentral:lncRNA from 1 species
AUGGGGGACAAAGGGAAGCCAAAGCAGGUGGGGGCUGCUGAGCAAGGGGGGAGGGGUUGGAAGGGGAGGCUGGGGGCGCCCCAAGCUGGGGGCUUGGAUGGGGGAGGGGCGGUGUGCAGGGAUGGGUUAGGAGGAGAGGACCCAAAGGGCUGUGGUCUUCCUCCUUGGGGGAGCAGUGCCACCAGGCCGAGGGGGUCUCACAGACGGAGGGGGGGAGGGUCAGAGAGAACAAGAAGAGACGGAGGGUCAGCACUCGGGAGCCGGUGGGGCGGGGCCCAAGGAGGGCAGGCCCCGCUGGGCCGUACAGGUGGGAGGAGAAGGGCCGGGCCGGAGCAGGGCAGGCCGAUGCCGGGGGCCGCGCUGGGCCGUACAGGUGGGAGCGGCAGGGGCGGGCUCGGCGCCCAGGGGCCCGCUGGGGCCGAGAGGGGGUGGGCUCGGUGCCCAGGGGCCGCUGGGCGGUACAGAAGGGAGGGAUGGGGUGGGGGUGGCUCGGCGCUCAGGGCCCCUCCCCGCCUCCUCACCAGCUGCGCUCGGCGCUCAGGGCCCCGCGGGGCAGGGCUCGGGAUCGGGGCCGGGGCCGGGCCGGGCCGCGGCCGCUCCAUCCCCCAUGGCCCCGGAGCCCGCUUAGCGCCUCCCCGGAGGCCCGAUGCCGAGUCCGCUCUCGCUCCCGCCUCCUCCUCCGCCUCCUCCGCCGCGGGGCAUGGUGCGGCCCGCCCGGGGCCGCCGGAGCCGGAGCCGGAGCCGCCGAGACCGAGCCUCGCAGGGGAAGCAGGGAGCGGCGGCGCGCGCCCCCGCGUCCGCGCCCCCGCGCGCGCUCCGCCCUGCCCCGCCCCGCCCGUCCGCGCGCCCCGGAGCUCCAGGCCGCAGGCGCAGAAGCGGCGGAGGGAGGGGCCUGAAGAAGGGGGUGGGGCCUGGACAGAAAAAAAGACUCAGGCUGGAAUUACCCCCAGAAGCCUCGGGGGCGAGCCCAAGAAACCCACAGGUGGCGGCAAGCUGAUAAAACCCCGACAAGCAACUGGGGGAGGGCGGGGCCUGCGAAAUAGGGGCGGGCCCGUUCAUACAAAAUCUAUAGUGGACUCCCCGGGGGCGGGGCCUGGGUGGAGGGGAAGGGCCAUUCAUAAAAAAUCUACAGCGGACGGUCCCGGGGGUGGGGCCUCGAGAAGAGGGGCGGGCCCAUGCAAAAUCCACCGAGAGCUGCCUCGGGGGCGGGGCCGGACAGCACCUGGAGAAGCCAGAGGGAGCUAG